rnacentral:tRNA from 1 species
GCCUGGGUGGCUUAGUGGUUGAGCAUCUGUCUUGGGCUCAGGUAGUGAUCCCGGAGUUCUGGGAUCGAGUCCCACAUCGGGCU